rnacentral:misc_RNA from 1 species
CAGAAAUCCCAAUUAAGCAAGAGCUCAGCACGACUGGGCGAGCAGACCAAUGAGUAGUCAUACUCGUUGAUCAAUAAUCCUCACAGCCUGACCAACUGUGGGGAAUGAGCGUGUUUGCGUGACACGGCACGCAUUCACGGUGAAGAGAGAAAAAGCGAAAAAAAGAGCUACCCUAAAGCUCAUGAAAAUGGUUUGAUCCGGUAUCCCGGCGCUUUCUUCCAUAUAUAUAAAGCAUUGCACAAAUAAUGAGUUUUGAGCUGGGGCUCAUUAGUGCACAUUACGAUUGCAUGGUUGUGGCAACCGGUGAUCGUUAACUGCAGCUUUGUCUGCCUACGGUGGAGCGAUCCAGUUCUGCCUUUCGCCUGUGCCUGGUACAUUCGUGUACCUACGCACAGUUCUGGUUGUGACAGGGUGCCUACCCGUCUGAUGCUCUUUGUUAUGCUUGCCGUCUGUAGAUGGUCAGUCCAUAUCAGGAGUGACGGGAUGUGCUGUCAAAAUUGGCAGUGCUAGGCUUAAUGAGUGGUUCGACAUAACGAGCUACGGCUCAGCCACCGCCCUGUUUGCUGUUUGUUGCAACAAAAUCCCAUAUUACACUGUUCAAGUGGUUCAGAUCGGACAUUGCUCACCCAACCGGUUUGAAUCAUUGCCCGACAUGCACCUGGUCUCGUACUGGAAUGCAUGUGCAGUCGCCUGGCGGUGCCUUAUCCUGGGCUAGACUGAGUAACCAAGCGUCGCUCAUCCGAAUCCCUGGAUGUUCGAUGUGAGUACAACUCUGUGCGGUGGAUCACUCGGCUCGUGUGUCGAUGAAGAGCGCAGCCAACUGUGUGAAUUAAUGUGAACUGCAUACUGCUUUGAACAUCGACAUCUUGAACGCAUAUUGCGGCCAUGGGUUAGCCUGUGGCCACGCCUGUCCGAGGGUCGGCUUAUAAACUAUCGCGACGCCCAAAAAGUCGCGGCUUGGGUCUUGCCAGCUGGCGUGAUAUCCCCUAUUUGGUCUUGUGCCUUUGUGGGGUGCCAGAACUAUGGCGUUUCCCUAAUGUACCCGGACGCACCAUGUUACGGCUAAAAGCCUUGACGAGAUGUGUCGAUAGAGUCGUGGCUCAGUUAUAUAUUUUAUGUGCGCGCUCUACCGUCAUGUUUUGUCUAUGGUUGGCUUGCUGUGGGUGGUUGUGUACCGAUGCUGACUAAUGUAUGUGCCAUAUGGCUCAUCAUUU